AGAUUGUGGGUGUUGAUGGUUUACGACCCCUUCAAAGAGUUUGAUAUAAACAGUUUUUCAAAGUUGAGCUCACAUUUAAAUGGUAUCCAGUUUUAUAAAAUCAGUGCAAACUAAGUUAUUUAGGUACUCUAGUGAUGUCUUGGAGGAACUGUAAGUAAAAGUUGUAUUAUUUUACUGUAUGUAUUUUUGACAAUAUGCCAGUGUUACAUGUCAGUACUAGCUAACUAACAUAAACACAGUCAAAUUUCACAAAAACAUCAGAAGGUUUAGAAAGAUGAUCUAAAUUGAUAGACAUUGUUUGAUAUAAUGCUUUUCUGCCAACUAUAAUCUGUGUGGUGAUGCUUUAGGGAAAAUUCAAACUGAAUAUAUAUAUUUAUAAUUUGUUCAAUGUCAGCAUUUGCACAUACCCAAGCAUGUAAGAAUAUGUUUUCUCAAAAUUUGUUAGCCACUUAAUUCGUAUAAGUUCAAUAAGUUUGAUUCCAGAACCAAAGUACUCCAGUAGUCACACACUGUUAUUUUCCUGUGCAAUAAUUUUCUGGUUUUAAGUGUCACUGUUUUGGUGCCAUAUAUUAUCAUAUCUUAUUUUGAACAAUGACUGUAUAGUAUAAAUCUUUUAACAGGCGUUUUUGCACAUUACAAUAUCCAGAUAUUAACGUUACAAUACUGGGUACCAGUACUAUUUCUAGGACUUCUACUCAGUCCAGUUUCUUAGAAACUUUAUAAUGUGAUGCCUCAGUCUGUCUCACUAAGCUCUUGAUAUACAAAGCAAAUAUUAUGACGCACCUUUUGUGCAAAGUUUAAAUUUGUUAUCUACUAACAAUUUAAUGUCAGUAACUUAUUUGUAUUUACUGUCAGCACUAUGCCAGUGCCAAAGAGGAUCUUAUUUCCAGCUCCAACAUUCACACAUUAUGAGAACAUGCAGCAAAAACUUUUUUAAAUAAGAACUGAAUUUUAGCAGUAAUUAUUGUUCCACUUCAGCAGUUUAUCUUACUUUAUCAUAAUAUAUAUAUAUAUUUUAUUUUAGUGGAAUUUCUACUUGUUUCUAGUUGAAUAAUUUUACAUUACACAUGUAGAAUAAAAUAUAGACAGCUGAUAUGAUUUUAUGUAUUUUAAGAUUUGCAUUACAUAGAUUAGCUUUACAGUUUAAAAAAAAAAAAAAACUUUUCAUAAUGUACAUAAAAGGCUUACUUGUUUCAACAACUAACUGGGUUCCAGAGCUAAAAUAAAUUCUCCUGUCUGAAUUAGUCACACACUUAACCGAACCCUACAUAAUAAAAAAACAUAUUGACCUUGAAUACAUGUUAGCUAUUAAUUUUUUGGUUUGGUCUGGUUUUCUAAUUAUUGUUAUCCAGAAUGUAGAUUAUUCUGAGUGAAUAUCCAGCAUUUUUCACCUCUAAAAGUUAGAUUGGAGAGCAUAGAAGUUCUGUACCCUCUGUCAGAUCCUCUAAGUUGUGAAACCACUUGGGAGACCCAAUGAUGACUAAGGGAAUAUGUCAUAUUCUGGACAUAAACUUAUACAAUAUGUCAUAUCAGUACAAAACACAUGCUUAUGUACAUAGGUGUGUCACAUACAGGGGGUUUGUGCACGUGUGUGUGUGUGUCACGCACAGGGGUGUUGUGUGUGUGUGUGUUUGUGAUUAAGAGUCUGAUGACGUAGGAUUAUGUAACCUCCCCAUCAAUCAUCCUCAUCGGUUGAAAGGGGGGCGGGAUAUUGUGACGGAUACGUUUUUCUGAUUGGUUGAAAAGGGGCGGGACAUUGUGACGUGGACGAUUUUGAUUGGCUGUCAGACCUGUCAAAAUCGAAAUAAUGAAAUAUACCACCCAUCCCUCUCUCUCUCACACACACACAAAGUCAAAAACCUGUUUUUUACAGAUGCAUGUGAUUAUCUGGGCAACAUUUAAAAAGGCUCAUGGAAAUUUGAUAUCUACAUUGGCAGUCAGAAACUCUUCAAAAAUGUCAGCAGGGAAAAUUCAUUAUUGCUUUUUAGAGAUCAGAUCAUUUAGAGAGCCUUUCAAUCCUAGUGUAAUCUACACAGCCACACCUUCAAACUGGUCCUGCAAGAUAGGAUAUGAUAGGAUGGAUAUAAUAUGGACUGUCAGAAAAGAAUUGCAGCACAGUGGUACAAUGACCAGCAAUGCCAGCUCCAGGGUUUCCAAAUCAACCAUUAGCUUGGAUUACUGUUUGAGUUUUGCAUUGUCCUCCAGUGUCUAUUAAGGUUUUCUUCAUGGUCUCUAGAUUCCCCUCACCUCCCAUAGCACAGUGGUAGGUGGAUUGGCUAGGGUAAAAUACACCCAAGCUGUGGCUGCCUCACACAUGCCACAUGUGGUAUCCACAAACAUUUAGCCAUAUACUGUAGGUAAGAUAUGCAUAACAUUUUAUAUGCUACAGUAAAUAUGCUAUUUUAGUACAUGUGUAUGCUUUAGCACACACUAUACCACACAGAAACACACACACAGUCAACUGAGACUUUUAUGAAUACAUAUGUAAAAAAUAACCAGUUUAUGGCAUCUUGAAUAGGUUACAUGCAUGUCACAAAUUGAUCUAAAUUAUGAAAUAGCCUGGCCUGUUCUCUUGAAUUUGAACAUCCUGUUGCUGCCGUGUAAUAGCCACACCCUUUUUACACAUGGUUAGUCUAAUCUACCUUAAAUACACUGGAAUUUGACCAGGAAACAGUAAAUCCCAAUUCACUAAGACAACAAUUAAACCUUUCAGGUCUGUAAUACAGAUUAAUAUGCUGCUAAUUAUAUGAAUAAACAUGACUAGCCUACUCAUGGAAGAUACAAACUUAAUAUAAAGCUUAAUAUAUAGUCAUAAUCAGGAAAUCUUCAUGGCAUGUCAACACACAUUUUUGCCUUGGCCAAGAACACUGUUGUCUCAUAAAUCCUGCAUCAUUAAUUAGCCUAUUUAUAGAAUUAUGCAGCCUAUUAAUAGAUCUGCCAAUGAAUGAAAUUACUUCACAGCUGCCUGAAGCCUGUAUUUACCCACAAUUAACACUAACCCUUAUUAAAUUGGUCAGAGAGAUGAUUAAACAAAUUCUAGGCCACAAAUAGUUAACUAAAGCAAUAAAUGUCAAUACACACAGUGCAUAUAAAAGUCUACACACCUCUUUUGAAAUUGCAGGCUUUUGUGAUAGUGUAUUGGUUAGUGCAGAUAGUAGCACAGUGCUACAACACUGUUCGGCCACUGCACAGAUGAUCACAUAAUGCACCCAGUCACAUGGUCUGAUGAGACCAGUGAGGCUCUGAAAGACUGUUUUGAUACAACUGUGUGGGAUUAUUGAGAAUUUAACAGACUGUGUUACGGGUUAUAUUAAAUUUCUAGGCUGUACAGUGUUUUCCCAUGUAUCAACCCUGAUAUAAAGGCUCUCCUUAAAGAGAAAAAGAGGGUUUUUAAAUCAGAAAAUAAGGAGGAGCUGAAAAACAGAGAGUACAGAGAGAACUGAGAAAGAAGAUCAGGCAAGGAAAAACCUGCUACAGGAGGAAGAUGGAGGAUCAACUGCAGCAGAACAAUGCCAGUGGGUAAAGUAAGCUGGACUUAGGCAGAGUGGCCCCACCAUUGCAUACUCAAGGGGGGCCCAAAUAAGAAACGGAUGUUGGGAGGACAGGUAGGAAUGUAGAGUGAAAACUAAUGGGAGUCAAGGCAUAUAUAAUGGGGAAGACGGGUUGGAGAGGGAGUUGCUUUGAAAACCAAAUCAGGAUGUUAUUGCAUGAUAAUAACAGCCUUAUUCUUCUGGCACCAAAACCCAAUACUCGGAGUGAUUUCUCCAACGAUUGGUGACCCCAACAUGAUUGGAAAGGACAAAGGCAUGGCUGAUCACCAUGGGCUUUCUUGGGGAGCAGCACAAACAGGUGCCACCUACACUGUAAAAAAUGUCCGUAGUUUUAACGGUGAAAUACUGUAAAGUAGCAACGGUAAAAACCUGUAAAUUAUAAAACAUGAAAUUACCGUGUAAUUGACAGUUUAAUACUGUUAAUGUAAAUACAAGAAAGUUUGAUACUUUUGCAUGACUGCUUUUUAAAAACUUUAACUUUUUUACCCUUCUGUUUUUUACAAUAAAUCACAAUGAUAUGGUCAACAAGAAUGUGUGUACCUCUAAGAAAAUAAACCAUUUUAGGCCUGCCCUUGUCUCUCCCAUUAAUAAUAUUACAUGAUCAUUUAGAUUUUAAUGACUCCUUUACAUUCAGAGAGGACUAUAUAUAUAUAUCAUUUAAAAAUAUCAUUUAAUAUAGGCCUAUAUUAUGACCUAUAUGUUGAAAAACAGUUUUUUUUUUGGAAGUUCAGACUUGUCCAGUAUGUACCAUUACGCUGCAUAAUAUAAAGAAACAGUAAUUUUAACAAUCAUUUUGUGUUUUAAAAUUAUUGCCUAUUGACAUGUCCAAUCAGCGCUCUAGACGUUACCUCACAUGCGCCGGCGCCUUGGCGCCUUUUGCCCUUUCAACUGGCGUUUUUUCUCGGGAACAGCAAACAAUGGACCAACCUCAGUGAGCUGCUAAUUUUUUCCUCACAAAGUCUGUCUGGAAGCACAGGAACUGUUCAGUUAACAGCAUUAGUGAUUCACAUCGGCCUUCUGCAUCAGAGAUACCGGCUGUUUCAACUGAGCAAUUUCCUGCUGACCUGGAUCCAAAUACAGGCGAAACAGAACUGAAUAGACCUGAAAAAGACUGAAUCACCCCACAUGUUGAAUCAUUUACACACCUGUAUCAUCAUCCCCAUCAUGUGGCAAGGCUUCCACAGUUGCUUCAGACUGGGCUGACAAUUUUAAAAUACCAUGGCAGAAGUUUCCAGAAGCAUUGAUUCAAUGUUUAGAAAGGAAGAAAAGACCAAGCCCAAGAUUACGACGAGAUAUGGUAAGAAUUGUCGUGUCUGAAAUGAUGAAGGUAUGUGACUGUCCCAGUAAACAAAGCUCUACAGCUGUUGCCAAAAAGAUGGUGGCCAAAUACCCUGCAUCCUUGCAGGAUGUUAUCGAAGGUGAUAUAGCUGGAUCAGGGUAUCAUUCGCUGGUCAAGCAGAUUCAGAAUCGCAUAGAAAAUGUGAAGAGACCCAAUGUACCGAAAAUCAAAAAACGCAGCAGAACAGAAGACUCUGACACAGAGGAGAUUCCUGCUGAAAGAAAGGCAGUGGUUCAAGACACUUAUGGCUGCGUGAAUUGGGAUUUAAAAUUUAUGCCGCUCAAUUAGACUAGAGAGCCAGCUGGAUAAACAAGAAAGGAUGAAGACCAAGUCUAAAACACUAAAUGUUGAGCCAGAAGAAGUUAGCAACCUUCUGAAAGCAACAUACUUUUCUCAACGCAAAGACAAACAACGGAGCAAGCAUACAACAGCUUUGUGAGAACUGGCCUUUUCUAUUUCAAGAGACUGGUAUGUGUGUACACUUCAAGCACCUACGGGAAUUGAUCUGAAGGAGAUGUUCCUUAAAAGCUUGGAUAAAAAGGGACAGCGGCUUCUGAACUUUAAAACAGUUGGUGCAAAGAAGACAAAAGUACUGCAAACUGCUGCAAAACUAGAUGUUAUGAGGUUUCAAACUGAGGGAUGCAGUGAAGAUUUGAAAGAUGUGAUGCUGCUUCUGCUUGCCUACUUUGAUGAAAAGGAAGAGGUGAUGUUCAUUAUGUGAAAGACUCUUGCCUUGUUGAAGAUGUGGAGGUAGACAAGUUACCAGCAACACCCUGCAUCAUUGUCUGUGGUGCUUCUUCAGCAUAAACCCAGAGAAGGCCACCAAAGUUGAAUCAAGGAAAAACAAAAAAACAGCUCCCAGUGAACCCCCAAGUCCUUACACUUAUAGCAGACCUUGCUGAUCACGAAUGGAGAGCAGAUUAAGGUUGGACAGAACCUUUUUUUGACAGAUGUCUGAAGAUUCCGUUGAUGGUGAUAUUGCUUUUCAAAUUUGAGUUAUCUGGAUUUACACUGGAAGAUGCUUGAACUUUUAAGGUUGAAAAUGACUUAAAUGUGAGUGCUUUUCUCUAAAAAACCAUUUUUAUUUUUGCCAAAAUACUGUUUUGUACUAUACCAGUAAUGAUUGGAGCAGCUAACAAAACAUUGUGACUACCUAAAAUAAAGUCACCUGUUCAUUAAUAUUUAGUAAUAGUAUCUACACGUAUAUUUUUUUCUUGGAUUUCCUUAUUUGACCUGUUUGAAAAAGGAAUUUCUAGAGUGUGUUAAAAGAGUAGUUCAAUUAUAUUUACAUUACUAAUGAUUUACUUACCCAUAGGCCAUCCAGGAUGUACAUCAGAACAAAAAAUUUUUAGGAAAGUUAAGAUUGAUGAUUAAGGUUGAUUAAGAUUCAUUUUAAUUUCUCUUCUGAAGUCAGUAAGUAUACAAUUUGAAUGGAUUAAAACAAUUUCUACAUUUAAGUUUUCCUACAGGAUGUUUUGUACAUCUUAGAUUGUACGAAAGCUGCAUGUUUAUGCUUUCGAAGCAUUUGGUUCAUGAUUAAUACAUUCUGUUAAUAGAAUGGUGUGUGGUCUUGUUCAGGUCAUUGAAUGUGUUUCUUUCUGGUAAAGAUUGUAAUCAUUUUAAAUGUUGAAAUACAUUGUUUUACUGCUGUUUUAAGGAGAAGAUGGUUGUUCGAAGUAUGUAUUUAUUUCGAAUGUUUACUUCUUAUGUU